AUGAAGAAAAUAAAACAGAGUAAAGUAUUAGAGAGACAUGAAGGUUUUUACUCUCUAUGUGGGAUGGAUAGGGAAGAUCUUCUUGAGAGAGGAAGACUUGAAUAAUGAGAAAAAGUUCAUUUAAUGGUAGAAGAGUGUACAAGGGAGAGGUGUGCAAAGGCCCUGAGAUGGGGAUGAAUUUGAAGCUCCGGUGGGAACAGAGAAUAAGCCCCCAUAGAGCAAUAAUAGGAGAGGUUAGAGAGGUAGGCAAAGGGAAGAUUCUACUGACUUUUCUAGACCACAGCCAGGAGUAUGAUGUAUAUUCUAAGUGGAAUGGAAGCCACUGGAGGAGGUUCCCAAGGGAGGAGCCUGAUCUAGCCCCCCCAUCCAGGUUCUGGGGAAACUGAACCUCUUCAGAGAAGCAUUCUAGACAUUUAAGCUAACCUAGUCCUUCUUUUUACAGUUGUAAAACAGACAUAGUCAUUCUCUGAUGAUUGUCUUUUGUAUUAGGGUUCUCCAGAGAAACAGAACCAACAGGAUGUGUGUGUGUGAGGAGAGAGAGAGAUUUAUUUUCAGGAAUUGGCUCAGGUUAUUAUGGAGGCUCACAAGUCUAAAAUUUGCAGGGUGGGCUGUUAGUCUGGAGACCCACAGAGUAGCCUAACCUACAGUUCAAGUCCAAAGGCCAUCUGCUGCAGAAAUCCCUCUUACUUGGGGGAGGUCAGUAUUUUGUUCUAUUCAGGUUUUCAACUGAUUGAGUGAAGUCCACCCACAUUCUGGAGGGCAGUCUGUUUUAUUCAAAAUCCUCUAGUUUAAAUGUUAAUCUCAUUCAAGAGAUCCUCACAGAAACAGCCAGAAUAACAUUUGGCUACAUAUCUGGGCACUAUGGCCCAGUCAGAUUGGUACAUAAAAUUAACCAUCAUGCUUUUCUUAUAGGACAAGACAAAGGAAGAAACAUUUUCCAUUUUAAGAACCAAUCUUGGAUGCAAAGCUUCCCCAUGGAAGAUGACAUGGCUUAAGGCUGGCUUGCCUUUGAGAAACAGGUUACAGAUGGUUUUCUGCACAGAGAGAACCCAUAUCAGAACACAAUGUUUUGAUGAAGACUCCCAUUUCAUGUCUCCUGAAAUGUACUGAUGCUUUUUGAUAGUAAGUGAGAGCAAACCAAGAAAAAAUGCACAUUGUUCAUUAAGUCAUCUCGUAAGUCUUUCAAGAACGCUAUUUGAGAAAUGUUGAUUUCCACAUUGCUAUACCCUUUGGCACACUGAGAUGUAUUAACUGGUAUAACUUCCUUCUUUAUAACUGGAAUACAGAUGAGAGGAUAGACAUGGAGCAGCCAUUUUGGAGGUCUGUGGCAACCGUGAAAAUAAAAGCCAUAUGUGAAGGAUGAUGAAACAAAAACAUAAAAAGAAGCUAUAAUGAUGUAAUGGAACUUCCAGUACCAUGCUUAGCUGUGUACUAUGGAUUUUUAAAAAAUAUGAUAAAAUAUCAACCUGUUUGGUAAAGCCACUGUUUCCCAGUAUUUUUUUCACAUCACAAAAUAUAUAGAAAAUGAUAAUAUUUGAUACUUACAAGGAAAAGGCAACUCAGACAAAGUUGAAUAUUCAGAAUGCUCUUUUUGCUCUCAAGUAGAAGUACCUUAUCUUGUCACACCUAUAACACAUCGGCAAAACAAUAAUGUACUGUGUAGCAUGCCUGUUGGGAAUCUCUGACUAAACCACAACAGUCAUAUUGUUUUUUCAAGGAGCUGAACAUAAUUUCUUACUAAUAGAGUUUCUCUAGCUAGACAAUGAGAUUAUUGAGAGUAAAACUAUGCAUUAUUUAUCUUGUUUCUCUCUUACCCAGUAUGCUGCUAGAAAUACAGUAAUUACUCAACAAAUAUUUAUUGAAUAAAUGAAAAGAAAAAAUAAUUCAUUAUUUCAGACUGACUGGUUUUCUCAUAGUUCUGGAUUGUGCUCCUUUCUGACUAAAAGGCGUUAUUCAUUUUCUCCCUGCCUGGAAAAACUUCCUAAUUCCUCUCCAUGUACCCAAAUCCUAUUCAUUCUUCAAAGUUCUUCUUAACUCUCAUCUCUUCCAUAAAACUCUUCUUAACAUUUUGGGUCAGAUCAUACCAUUUUAUUCCUUUCUCUGUACUUCUAUAAUUCAUGCUGAAAGAAAGGUUCACUGUGGCCUUAAAAAUACAGGUGUCCUCCAACUAAUGACCCAGCUUUUCCAGGUCAUAUGCUAGCCAUAUUUCCUAAUGACAGAAGGCUGUACUUUGGAUAUUCCUUUUCUAAAAACAUAUUUCAUUCCAUGAAAAUACAAACAAUUGACAAAAUAAAAAAUUAAUCAAGCAAACAAUAAAAAAAAUAAGAAUUACAUUUUAAAUGUUCUCCUUGGGGCAAUGCUUUGUCUGAGAUAAAUCAGCUGCAGUUUCCUAAAGUAUGAAUCCAGUAAAGUUGGGAUAAGCACACUAAAUUAGUCAGAAUCUCCCUAGGUUAAACACUGAGAUUUUUCAGCUCUUAGAACUGCAUUUAGAGAUAUUAUCAUCUGUCCCAAAAUUUCUACUGAAAAUUUGAUACAAGGUAGGCUUAUAAAGGUCUUUGGAUGGUAAACUAGAGCUGGGCCUUUUAUUUCCUGCAACAAUUCUCUCCUGUCUAAUUCAUCACAUUCAAUACUGUGGAGAAAACUCACCUUUCUGGACAUAAUUAGAUGCUUUUGGAUCAAUGCUUAGAGCUUCCCCUUGAGCGCUAGGAAUUCACUAGUAUUCCUCUUGCUACAAUCAAAUUAUUCUUUCCUCACUCUAAAAUAUCUUUUAUUUUUCACUUUUCCUGUUUUUCAGUAUUUUGGAGAGAUAAUAUUUUACCAGAAUUUUUGCUCAGGUAUGUUUGAUUGUACAUUCAUAUCAUCAAAAGUUAUUGCAUUUAUAUCCAUGUAUUUAGUGAACUGGAUACUGUUUAAACAGUCUGGUGUAUCACCCUCCUACUGCUUUCUUUUAGCUGGCUUUGAAGAAUUACUCAGGCCUCAGUUUGAGUCUACCAUGAGGAACACUGCCAUCUAACAUAGUACCUUUUUAGUAUAUCCAAAAGGGUACUAUAAUAUUUUUGAAUUUGAUAUAUUUAAUGUUUCUAGAAUUUGCAGCCUAUUAAGACCUUUAUUCUUUGUUGGAGUAUCAUUUGUAGGUAACCCCUUUAAAAUCUCUACUGAUAAAUACAGCAGGACUGGUUGAGAUGUUGAAGAAGGGGCAAAGACUGAGAAAUGUACACUAGCCUUAGACCAAAAUUUUCUACUGUAGCUCUUAAAAUUUUUGUGACUUUGGACAAUAACUAAGUCAUUAUAAGUCUUUGCUUUCUCAUCUGGAAAAUGAAGCUGGUUCUAAACUUACCUACCACACAGAGUUGUUAUAAAAAUUCAUUAACAUAUACAACAUGCUUUGUAAAUUGAAAACUUUAUUGUGAAAAUCCAACUACAUAUGUUAGUAUCCAGUAUUCACACAUUGACCCACAUUCUCCCUAUGAAAGGGAAUAGUGUUUUUCAUAUUGUAGGGCUAUUUCACUAUUUUGAAUUGUAUUAAUGUUCUUAAUCAUUUGGUUAAUGUAUCCCUUGGAUAUUUCUGGGUUGGUUUGCUCCCAGUUUGCUACCAAACUGAAAUAUUACUGUACUGUACUCUGUUCUCAUUGAGGGAAGAAAUGCUUACCUUCUUGCUUAAAGUGAUUUAAAUCUGAAAUAAUGGGCUUUACACCUUCAAAUUUUUUAUAUUCCUUGAUAACUGGAUGGGUAAUAAAUGUUCUAAAUUUGUUGAGCAUUAAACACUCAUGGCUUAUAAACAGA